rnacentral:rRNA from 1 species
AACGAACGCUGGCGGCAUGCCUAACACAUGCAAGUCGAACGAGACCUUCGGGUCUAGUGGCGCACGGGUGCGUAACGCGUGGGAACCUGCCCUUAGGUUCGGAAUAACUCCCCGAAAGGGGUGCUAAUACCGGAUAAUGUCUUCGGACCAAAGAUUUAUCGCCUUUGGAUGGGCCCGCGUUGGAUUAGCUAGUUGGUAGGGUAAAAGCCUACCAAGGCGACGAUCCAUAGCUGGUCUGAGAGGAUGAUCAGCCACACUGGGGCGGAGACACGGCCCAGACUACUCCGGGAGGGAGCAGUGGGGAGGGUUGUAUGAUGGGCGGAAGCAUGAUGUAGCAACGCAGCGUGCGGGAUGACGGAAGGCGGUUGGUAUAGAACUUUCUCUUGUGACGAGGCGUGAGUGACGGUACGGGGUAAAGAAGCGCCGGCUAACUACGUG